GACGAACGCUGGCGGCGUGCUUAACACAUGCAAGUCGAACGGAAAGGCCCUGCUUUUGUGGGGUUCUCGAGUGGCGAACGGGUGAGUAACACGUGAGUAACCUGCCCUUGACUUUGGGAUAACUUCAGGAAACUGGGGCUAAUACCGGAUAGGAGCUCCUGCUGCAUGGUGGGGGUUGGAAAGUUUCGGCGGUUGGGGAUGGACUCGCGGCUUAUCAGCUUGUUUGUGGGGUAGUGGCUUACCAAGGCUUUGACGGGUAGCCGGCCUGAGAGGGUGACCGGCCACAUUGGGACUGAGAUACGGCCCAGACUGCUACGGGAGGCAGCAGUGGGGAAUCUUGCACAAUGGGCGGAAGCCAGAUGCAGCAGCGCCGCGUGCGGGAUGACGGCCUUCGGGUUGUAAACCGCUUUUGCCUGUGAUGAAGCGUGAGUGACGGUAAUGGGUAAAGAAGCACCGGCUAACUACGUG
rnacentral:rRNA from 1 species